AUAGGACAGACUGAAGAAAAGGGCUUUGACAUAAGCUCCCAGCCCUUAAUCCUCGGCAGCGUGUGCCCUCCUAGCUUUGCAAAAUGCACACUAAGCUCUCCACCUCCUUAUCCGCUUCUCCCAUCUUGUCUGCCAGCCCGAAGCUAGCAGAGUAGCCGACAACUCCUUUCUUAACCUCAGCUCUUCAUCCAAUUUCCUAAUUUGAGAGUCAGCCUCUAGUUGGGCAUCAAUGGUCAGCAUCCAUCCCCCGGCAGAGGCCAGCCCACUGCAGCAGCCAUGCGUGUCCCUUCUCCCAGCAGGACACUGUGUGCAGCUCCUCAAACAAGAGCAUUAGACUAGCCAGCAUUUUCGGGGCUGGCCCGGACUCAUGCGGCGGUCCACAAGCAUCUGACAUGCGGGCCACCCCUCCCCACGCAGAGGUCAAGGGUCAACUGGGGAUUUCUCCCGAGAUGCCUCUUUCCCAAAACCCACUUCUCCGGUCUCCUGGCUGGCUCGCCAGUUGGUGGUUCCCAACCUCAGGAGCUUCCUGGGUGAACUCUGAAGCUGGACCCCAUACCUGGAGGGCAAGGAGAAACCGACAAGAGGGGCAGGCCACUCCAAAUUGAAUCUUCAAGUUUAUAUAGAAGCCGUCCCUGGGUUCAGUCCCGGCACACAGUCCAGAUGGUCUCAGCAACGCCUUACUCUCUCCAGGCUGUGUCCUUGGGGCAGCUUCCAGCUCAGGGAAGGUGCAGAAACAAGCAGGAUCAAGGCUGACCCACACAGACAGUGAAAUCCAAAGAAGCCACCACAAGCAGAAAAUUUCUUGUGACUUUUUCAAAUCAAUCUAAAUUUCACAUCCUAUUUCAUAAAAGUCAUAUUUGCUUAAAACAAUCCUUUUUUCCUCAAAAGUUGAUAUUUCAGGGCCUGCCCGGUGGCACAGCGGUUAAGUUUGCACACCCCACCUAGGCGGUCUGGGGUUCACGGGUUCGGAUCCCAGGUGCAGACCUACAUACACACUGCUCAUCAAGCCAUGCUGUGGCAGGCGUCCCACAUAUAAAGUGGAGGAGGAUGGGCACGGAUGUUAGCUCAGGACCAGUCUUCCUCAGCAACAAAGAGGAGGAUUGGUGGCAGAUGUUAGCUCAGGGCUAAUCAUCCUCAAAAAAGAAAAAGUUGGUAUUUCAAGAAGGAACACCAGCUUCCCCUCCCAUUCACUCCCCCUGGAGACCUCCACACCUGUGUGAGGG
rnacentral:lncRNA from 1 species